rnacentral:tRNA from 1 species
GCUCCCAUAGCUCAGUUGGAUAGAGCACAAGUUUCCUAAACCUGGGGUCGGAAGUUCGAAUCUCCCUGGGAGCGCCA